rnacentral:rRNA from 1 species
GUGAGGAAUUUUCCGCAAUGGGCGAAAGCCUGACGGAGCAAUGCCGCGUGAAGGAUGAAGGCCUAUGGGUUGUAAACUUCUUUUCUCAGAAAAGAAUUAUGACGGUAUCUGAGGAAUAAGCAUCGGCUAACUCUGUGCCAGCAGCCGCGGUAAGACAGAGGAUGCAAGCGUUAUCCGGAAUGAUUGGGCGUAAAGAGUCUGUAGGUUGUUUAAAAAGUAUUCUGUCAAAGAUUAGGGCUUAACCCUAGAUAGGCAGAAUAAACUUUUAAGCUAGAGUUUGGUAGAGGCAGAGGGAAUUCCCGGUGGAGCGGUGAAAUGCGUAGAUAUCGGGAGGAACACCAAAGGCGAAGGCACUCUGCUGGGCCAAUACUAACACUGAGAGACGAAAGCGAGGGGAGCAAAUGGGAUUAGAAACCCUGGUAGUCC